CAGGCCUGCCUGAGGACCCCUGGGUCCGGGUGGAAUUUAUCCUUGACAACCUGGUCUUUGACUUUGCAACACUGAACCCCACACCUUUCUCCUAUGAGGCCGACCCCACCCUGCAGCCACUCAACCCUGAGGACCCCACCAUGCCAUUCCGGCACAAGCCUGGGAGUGUGUUCUCCGUGGAGGGGGAGAACCUGGACCUUGCAAUGUCCAAGGAGGAGGUGGUGGCUAUGAUAGGGGAUGGCCCCUGUGUGGUGAAGACGCUGACGCGGCACCACCUGUACUGCGAGCCCCCCGUGGAGCAGCCCCUGCCACGGCACCAUGCCCUCCGAGAGGCACCUGACUCUUUGCCUGAGUUCACGGUCAGUGGGCAGGUCCCUGGCCGGGCUGGGCAUUGACCUGGGCCAAACCCUUGCUCACAGGUGGCUCCUGACACAGGUGCAGAUGGGGAACUUGCGCUUCUCCCUGGGUUACGUGCAGUAUGACGGCGAGAGCCCUGGGGCUUUUCCUGUGGCAGCCCAGGUGGGCUUGGGGGUGGGCACCUCUCUUCUGGCUCUGGGUGUCAUCAUCAUUGUCCUCAUGUACAGGUGGGUGCAGCCAGAUGUGGCUGGGCUGGGGCAGGUCGUGGGAUCUGGCUGGACUGGGAAGGGACAGACCGGGCCAGGAGUCAGGAAACAUUCUCUGUAAAUGGCCAGAGAGUAAAUAUUUCACGCUUUGCAGGCCAAGUGGUCUCUGUUCAACAACUCAGCUUUGCCACUGUGGCACAAAGGCAGCCAGGGACGACAUGGAAACACAUGAAAGUGGCUGUGUUCUAACAAAUCUUUAUUUAUAAAAAUAGGUUGUGGGAUGGAUUUGGCCUGGUUGUGGUUGGCUGAUCUCUAGGCUAAACUGUGCUGGGCUAGACGGGGCAUGGGUGUGUGUGACUUGCUUGGGACGGGACAGGCUGAAUCGUACUGGGCUAGGCUUGAGCUUGGCUGGCAUGGCUGCAUUGGACUGUGCUGGAUGAGGCCAGGGUGUGCCUGGGGAUCGUCAGGCAGGCCUG
rnacentral:sRNA from 1 species